UCGACUGUUUUAACAAAAACAUUUCUUUUGGGUAGUGUAUAAAAAGUAUGACCUGCCCACUGAUAUUAAAGGGCCGCGGUAUUAUGACCGUGCUAAGGUAGCAUAAUCAUUAGUCUUUUAAUUGAGGAAUGGAAUGAAUGGUUUAAUUUUUAUAGUUUUUAUUUUUUAAUUUUAUUGAAUUUUAUAUUUAAGUGAGAAUGCUUAAUUUUGGUAAAAAGACGAUAAGACCCUUUAGAGCUUUAUUUUGGGUUUAAGUUUAUUUUUUAGAAGAAAUUUAAUUUAAUUACUAAAGUUUUGUUGGGGCAACAAAAGAAUAAAAUUAACUUCUUUAAAUUUUGUUGAUUCUUAAAAUUUAAAGUUUAAAAAGUUACCUAAGGGAUAACAGCGUUAUAAAUUUUGAGAGUUCUAAUCGACAAAAUUGAUUGCGACCUCGAUGUUGAAUUAAAAAGUCUUUACGGGGCAGCACUUGAAAAAGAUAGUCUGUUCGACUAUAAAAAUUUUACAUGAUUUGAGUUCAGACCGGA
rnacentral:rRNA from 1 species